AGCAGCCGCGGUAAUUCCAGCUCCAAUAGCGUAUAUUAAAGUUGUUGCAGUUAAAAAGCUCGUAGUUGAAUUUCGGGAUCAGUUGAUCGGUCGUGCCUCGGUACGUACUGGUCAAAUUGAUUCCUACCUUCUGACGAACCACGAUGUCAUUAAUUUGGUGUCGUGGGAAAUCAGGACUGUUACUUUGAAAAAAUUAGAGUGUUUAAAGCAGGCUCGCGCUUGAAUACAUUAGCAUGGAAUAAUGAAAUAGGACGUUUGAUUCUAUUUUGUUGGUUUCUAGGAUCGACGUAAUGAUUAAUAGGGAUAGUUGGGGGCAUUAGUAUUCAAUUGUCAGAGGUGAAAUUCUUGGAUUUAUUGAAGACUAACUACUGCGAAAGCAUUUGCCAAGGAUGUUUUCAUUAAUCAAGAACGAAAGUUAGGGGAUCGAAGACGAUCAGAUACCGUCGUAGUCUUAACCAUAAACUAUGCCGACUAGGGAUCGGAUGAUGUUAAUUUUUUAAUGACUCAUUCGGCGCCUUACGGGAAACCAAAGUGUUU
rnacentral:rRNA from 1 species